CAAUUUCUUGCAAACACUGUACAUAGAAAAAGGGAAAGUCCUGGUUCCCUAGAGAUGAAACUUUGAGGUUUCAAAUAAGUUAACAUGAAGAUUACAAAUGCAUUAAUUGCAUUGAAUAAUUUUAAUAAUCACAGGCAGAUACUAGCUUAUUGCGUUUUAGAUUAUUAUUCUAUAUUACUGCAAAAUUUUAACCAACCUUGUCAGCAGUGACAAAAUCUGUGUGUACUCAUCUCACUAUAUACAAAAUUGAGAAAAUAUUGUUUAUUGUGUGAAACUUUCUUCAACAAAUCUAUUCUUCUUUGACUUUUAAGUGACCCAAAUUUGCUCUGAACUGUUGAUCUGAUAUUAAAAAGUUCAACAAAAUGGAAGAAAUUUCUUUAGUUCAUUGUGACCAUUUCUUCCUUUUUUGAUAAACAGAUUCCAGAAUAUUCGCUGAACAGAAUGAAAUGGAAAAUGUAUUCAGAGUAAGAAAGAAAAAGUACACAUGUUGUUCUAACGCAAGAACUAGGAAACAUCAAAAGUAGACAGCAGGAAGCUGUAUCAGAACAAGCAAAGUGGGAUGUGCAAUAGAGCCUUCCCUGGGGAGCUCCUUAGCACAGGAUAUUUUGAUGCUACCAAUUUUCAUGGGUUCAAAAGCAGCUGUGAAAAUUCAGCAAAGAAAAAGUCUGUGCAGCUACAAAAUAUAAAAACAGUAUUUCUGUCACAGGACAUCUUGUAGCCUGUAUUGCUGAAGGCUAAGGUUUAUUUUGGAAGAGUAUCGCUACAUGCUUGUACACAGGAAGGGAUGGGUGAGAGGGAGAGGUCUGUCGUAACUCCCUUAUAGACCUACAAUUGCCUUUGUGCAAAAUAUUAGGUGGAAUGUUGCAUAUUACAGCGAGAGGCAUCUGCUCUUGGACAAUUACGGCGUCAUAAACAAUUCUGUGAGGUACAAGGUAUCCUACAACAGGUACCCAGUUAAUCUGCUCCAUCACCUGGAGUUUGGUACAGUACACUCCGGAGGGCUUCAGAGGCAUAGCUGUCACACCCGCCCUGCCUACUUUUUUGUGACAGAAGGCUGUGUGCAGUGCCCUGCUGCACCCCCCGCACUGCUGCAGUGCUGCUGCCCUGACUGCCCUGUCCUGGUGCAGCUGACAUACGAUGCUGACAUAAAGUUUAGCUGAGAGAUCUUUACUGUGUUCUGCAUAUAAAGAACAAUAAAACUGAAGACACUGUUUAAAAGUCA
rnacentral:lncRNA from 1 species